CCUACGGGUGGCAGCAGUGAGGAAUAUUGGUCAAUGGACGAGAGUCUGAACCAGCCAAGUAGCGUGAAGGAUGACUGCCCUAUGGGUUGUAAACUUCUUUUAUAUGGGAAUAAAAUGUUCCACGUGUGGGAUUUUGUAUGUACCAUAUGAAUAAGGAUCGGCUAACUCCGUGCCAGCAGCCUCGGUAAUACGGAGGAUCCGAGCGUUAUCCGGAUUUAUUGGGUUUAAAGGGAGCGUAGGUGGAUUGUUAAGUCAGUUGUGAAAGUUUGUGGCUCAACCGUAAAAUUGCAGUUGACACUGGCAGUCUUGAGUACAGUAGAGGUGGGCGGAAUUCGUGGUGUAGCGGUGAAAUGCUUAGAUAUCACGAAGAACUCCGAUUGCGAAGGCAGUUCACUGGACUGCAACUGACACUGAGGCUCGAAAGUGUGGGUAUCAAACAGGAUUAGAUACCCCGGUAGUC
rnacentral:rRNA from 1 species